UAGCUCAGUUGGUACAGUGUUUGUCUUGGAUGCAUAAGGCCCUGGGUUCAAUCCCCAG
rnacentral:tRNA from 1 species